GACGAACGCUGGCGGCGUGCUUAACACAUGCAAGUCGAACGGAAAGGCCCUGCUUUUGUGGGGUGCUCGAGUGGCGAACGGGUGAGUAACACGUGAGUAACCUGCCCUUGACUUUGGGAUAACUUCAGGAAACUGGGGCUAAUACCGGAUAGGAGCUCCUGCUGCAUGGGGGGGGUUGGAAAGUUUCGGCGGUUGGGGAUGGACUCGCGGCUUAUCAGCUUGUUGGUGGGGUAGUGGCUUACCAAGGCUUUGACGGGUAGCCGGCCUGCGAGGGUGACCGGCCACAUUGGGCCUGAGAUACGGCCCAGACUCCUACGGGAGGCAGCAGUGGGGAAUAUUGCACAAUGGGCGGAAGCCUGAUGCAGCAACGCCGCGUGCGGGAUGACGGCCUUCGGGUUGUAAACCGCUUUCGCCUGUGACGAAGCGUGAGUGACGGUAAUGGGUAAAGAAGCACCGGCUAACUACGUG
rnacentral:rRNA from 1 species